GACGAACGCUGGCGGCGCGCCUAACACAUGCAAGUCGAACGGAGCUGUUUUCUCUGAAGUUUUCGGAUGGAAGAGAGUUCAGCUUAGUGGCGAACGGGUGAGUAACACGUGAGCAACCUGCCUUUCAGUGGGGGACAACAUUUGGAAACGAAUGCUAAUACCGCAUAAUGUGUUUUGGGGGCAUCCCUGAAAUACCAAAGAUUUAUCGCUGAAAGAUGGGCUCGCGUCUGAUUAGCUAGUUGGUGGGGUAACGGCCUACCAAGGCGACGAUCAGUAGCCGGACUGAGAGGUUGAACGGCCACAUUGGGACUGAGAUACGGCCCAG
rnacentral:rRNA from 1 species